GCGAGGAGGCGGAGGUCUGGUCGCAGCUCGGCGGCCCCACCUGUCACCGGGUGGGGGCAGGGGUGGGAGCGAGCCCUGGCGCGACUCAGCGCGGGGCAGCGGACCGCGAGUCUCUCAGCCCGCGGGGGUGGCCCGCUCCGUCCCGUUCUGUACAGGACGCGGGAAAAGGGACAACAGUUAUAAGGAGACCUGCAUUGCUCUUGAACCAGUCACAAGAAAACACCAUGUGUCCAAAAUAAAGUGCCUAAAGUGCCUUCUGACUCAAGAUGUGUUCUCUUCAACCUACUAAGAAAGUGUCAAUGCAAGCAGCUGACUCAAAUAGUGAAGCACACUGUCCUUCUCCAACCCCUUGUCAUCGGAUACCAUACUUCAAGAGGAAUCACCUGGAGGGCACUGGGUGAUCACGCUGACAGGUCCCAAGAUGGCUCCAGGGCUCCAGAUGAGAGUUCCAGAUGCCACAUCCAAAGAAGCAAGAGAGAACACCUCAUCCUGCAGCCCUCUUUUAGGAAUGAGGAAACUUUUCCCAGAAGCCCUCUAUGAGGUAUCUCCUCCCAUGUUUUUGGCCAGAAUCUGAUCACCUUCCCAUUCUUUUCUUUUUAAGAUUUUUUUUUUUGAUGUGCACCAUUUUUUAAAAAGUCUUUAUUGAAUUUGUUACAAUAUUGCUUCUGUUUAUGUUCUGAUUUUUUGGCCAUGAGCCAUGUGGGAUCUUAGCUCCCACCUGGGAUUGAACCCGCAUCCCCUGCAUUGGAGGGUGAAGUCUUAACCACACUGCCAAGGAAGUCCCUAUCACCUUCCCAUUCUUGAAAAGAAUAUAUAUAUAUUCUUUUCCAGAUUCUUUUCCCUUAUGGGUUAUUACAAAAUAUUGAGUAUAGUCCCUUUGCUAUACGGUAUGUCCUUAUUGGUUAUUUGCUUUAUAUACAGUAGUAUGUCUGUGUUAAUCCCAAACUCCUAAUUUUUAUCCCUCCCCGCUCCGCUAGAGUUUUUGUUCUUGCUAACUAUAGCCAACUUGAAUUAUUCACAGAAAAUUGGAACCAGAGGGGCAUGCCAGCCCAGAUAGCAAUAAUGAACAGAAAACACACUGCUUGCUACUUGAUUUUCUCACCCAGCAAACAUUUUGUCAAAAUUGGCAUCAAACGCUGUGGUAAAUUGACUGGUUCUGCACUUUGGCUCGACUUUCUCGUUUUUUGUGUAAUUUGUUUGUUUUCAACAGCUUAUUGAGAUUUAAUUUGCACGCCAUACAAUUCGCCCAUUUGAAGGG